rnacentral:rRNA from 1 species
ACUCCUACGGGAGGCAGCAGUAGGGAAUCUUCCACAAUGGGCGCAAGCCUGAUGGAGCAACACCGCGUGAGUGAAGAAGGGUUUCGGCUCGUAAAGCUCUGUUGUUAAAGAAGAACACGUAUGAGAGUAACUGUUCAUACGUUGACGGUAUUUAACCAGAAAGUCACGGCUAACUACGUGCCAGCAGCCGCGGUAAUACGUAGGUGGCAAGCGUUAUCCGGAUUUAUUGGGCGUAAAGAGAGUGCAGGCGGUUUUCUAAGUCUGAUGUGAAAGCCUUCGGCUUAACCGGAGAAGUGCAUCGGAAACUGGAUAACUUGAGUGCAGAAGAGGGUAGUGGAACUCCAUGUGUAGCGGUGAAAUGCGUAGAUAUAUGGAAGAACACCAGUGGCGAAGGCGGCUGUCUGGUCUGUAACUGACGCUGAGGCUCGAAAGUAUGGGUAGCAACAGGAUUAGAUACCCUGGUAGGAUAGCG